AGUUGAAAUUUGCUCAUAAAUGCCUAAUCUUGUCUGAUCUCGGAAGAUAAGCAGGGUUGGACUUGGUUAGUAGUUAGAUGGGAGGCCGUCAGGAAUAUCAGGUACUGCUG
rnacentral:rRNA from 1 species